rnacentral:lncRNA from 1 species
CCUGCCAAGUUCUACCGCUAGCAGCAGCUUUGGAUCGGAUGUUGCUUCCACCCAGCCCCAGCCUGCUGAUCCCAGCUAUCAUGACUCGCAGCUUCUUAAGGAUUUGCAAGAACAGACCUGUGGUUUGGUACUUCCGAGGCCUGGAGAUAACCACAGUCCAUUCUGAAGACAGGAAAGAGGGCACUUCACCUGAGCAGAGGGCACUCCCUAAAGCUGAAGGGAAUGAAGGCAUGAUUAAUGGAGGAGCAUGACCACCAGCGUCAGCCUUUUGGGUUUGGG